UACGGGGGGUGCGAGCGUUGUCCGGAAUCACUGGGCGUAAAGGGCGCGUAGGUGGCCUGAUAAGGGUGUGGUGAAAGUCCGGGGCUCAACCCCGGAUCUGCCGUGCCGACUGUUAGGCUAGAGUACUGUAGGGGCAGGCGGAAUUCCGGGUGUAGCGGUGGAAUGCGUAGAGAUCCGGAGGAAGACCGGUGGCGAAGGCGGUUCUCUGGGCAUGUCCUGACGCUGAGGAGCGAAAGUGUGGGGAGCGAACAGG
rnacentral:rRNA from 1 species